AGAAGGACACUCAACCGCCGACAGCAAGAAUUGCACCGGAAGAUCUUUAACAGUGCGAAAUCCAACGAUACGUCUGAUUUGUCUCCAGCCCUUAAACCCUUAAUCACUGCCGGCAUAAAUACAUAAUUAUGGGCCCCAGCUACCUCACCGUGGCCCCGUGGAGGUCGAUGAACGAGACGGCUGUCCAGCUGGGACAGCGUAAAGAAGCUACGCUACUACUCAUCCUUCGACCCGUAUUCAUCACCCGCGUUACAUUUGUCCAGGGUCCUCGCCCGUGUGUAAGCCAGCCCCGGUCCGUCAACGUGUAGGUGGACAACGGAACUCCGGAUGCUCGUAACCAGGCCCCCCUGCACAGCUGGCACAUUCGUAUUCGUGGCAGCAUAAAAAAACGCCCGACGCAUGACGGACCGACGAAGAAUUGGAUAAAUGCGUACACAAACGGGGUAGAAAUUCCGCUCAA